CAGUAGCCGCGGGAAUACGUAGGGUGCAAGCGUUAAUCGGAAUUACUGGGCGUAAAGCGUGCGCAGGCGGUUAUAUAAGACAGAUGUGAAAUCCCCGGGCUCAACCUGGGAACUGCAUUUGUGACUGUAUAGCUAGAGUACGGCAGAGGGGGAUGGAAUUCCUCGUGUAGCAGUGAAAUGCGUAGAUAUGCGGAGGAACACCGAUGGCGAAGGCAAUCCCCUGGGCCUGUACUGACGCUCAUGCACGAAAGCGUGGGGAGCAAACAGGAUUAGAUACCCGCGUAGUCCCUGUCUCUUAUAC
rnacentral:rRNA from 1 species